rnacentral:rRNA from 1 species
GACGGGGGGGGCAAGUGUUCUUCGGAAUGACUGGGCGUAAAGGGCACGUAGGCGGUGAAUCGGGUUGAAAGUGAAAGUCGCCAAAAAGUGGCGGAAUGCUCUCGAAACCAAUUCACUUGAGUGAGACAGAGGAGAGUGGAAUUCCUGGUGUAGCGGUGAAAUGCGCAGAUAUCGGGAAGAACACCCGUGGCGAAGGCGGCACUCUGGGACGGUACUGACGCUGAGACGCGAAAGCGUGGGGAGCGAACAGG